CGGCUGUGUGUCGACGGGUUACUAUGGUUACAGCUACAGUCCAUGGAAAAUUAAACGGUAAAAGCCAUCCGGAGCGCACUUUCAAAAGCGCAGAAAAGAAGAGCAGGAGAAACGUGCAAAAGAGAAAGAUUCACUAUUAAAAUAUUUGGGACCACCUGCAGCUGAAUCAUCAGACCAGGAACAGCCAUGCACCUCAGCUGCUCCGGUUUCCUCAGAGUCACCAGAAGAGACACAACAAGAGCAUGCUGCUCUUCCUGCCACUACUGUUAAAAAUAUGUUUAAAAGUUUAUUGUAUAUUUAUUAUUGAACAGGUUUAUUCUUUUGCACAUAUUGUUAUAUUGUUUGUAUUAUCAUUGUUUAAAUAAAUGUGCAAUUCUUUGGA